ensembl:lncRNA
GGCUCUUAUUGGCCAUCCUAAACAAUUCUUUAUGACAUCACUUCCCCAAAUAAUACAGAAAUCCCACCCACUUCAUUGUUUUUCAGCUCACUACAGCAAAAAUAGGCACGGAAACACUAUAGUCAGUAAGAUGAAUUGAUGACUGCUUUUUAAAAGAAAAGUUCACCCAAAAAUGAAAAAUUGCUGAAAAUGUACUCACUCUCUAGGCCAGAAGCGACAGUUUAAAGUUAAAUUUUGGGGAUGGAUUUGUUUGUUACAAACAUGCAGAUUUUCACAAGAAAUUAAUUGAUGGACUGGAGUCAUGUGGAUUACUUUUGGAUUAUUGUGAUGUUUUUAUCAGAUGUUUGGACUAUCAUUCUGACGGCACCCAUUCACUGCAGAGGAUCCAUUGGUGAGCAAGUGACUCAUCUACAUCUAACUCACUAUGUUAAAUGAAUCUGUUUGUACUGAUCCAUUCUCAGUCUUUUCUGGACCGAAGGCCAGUAAACAUUACGAACCACAUUAAAGGACCCAAUAAAACUUACUCAGAAUUCACCACCGACAUCACUGACACUUCAGACACUGUUUAGAUGCACACUUAAGGAGUUCCUGGUUAAAUGGUCAUGUGACUCCAUAUAGAGGGAUUCUCUAGGGUAAAGUGGGGGUGGGAGAUUGCUUCAGGGGUGCUUUAUGUUUGUUCAAUGACCCUGAAAGACUGAAAUUCAAACAGAUUAAAAAAAACAACUAUACUAGCAGAUGCAGUGCGCUCUCAUCCACGGUGUUAUCAGAAAAUACACUAGUUAUUCAAUUUGAUGAAUGUUCAAUUGCAAAAAAGGCCUCAUUUUCCCUCUGUAGGGAAGUCAUCUUCCCUCUGUUCCCUCUGUUUUUUUUGCAUUCUGUUCUCCUGCAACCCUCUGAAGCCUCUGUGACUCUCGAAAUAACAACACUUGGUAAGGAAAUACACAAAAGUACAGAAAAAGUAUGGAAGCAGAUUAUAUCCAUACAUGAAUAUCAGGGAGAAAAUGCAGUGUUCAGCCAUUGUUCAUAUCCAUCUCUCUUCUCCGUUUGUCUACUCAGCGUUUGGUGUUUCCGAGCCACUCUCCCUAGCCGGGACUUUGGCCUGACGGAAAAAAAUAAAUAAUAACUUUAUGGGUCCUUCAAAUGUCACUCAAUAACAGAUUUCAUGUAUAGUCAUAUAUUUUCAUUUUUUUGUUGAAAUAUUAUUUCUAAUCCUGGAAGCAGAUUUGAAAAUAGUCCUUUGAAUCCUUUAAUUCUUUUUGUUAUUUUUUAUGCAUUUUUUUCCCAAAAUACUUCAUUAGAAAAAAGUCAUUCUCAGCAGGUGUUGAGGAAAAUAUAGACUGUGAAAAGCUCAGACUCCAGGUUAAGACUGUCCCACCCCUUAGAGAAAUGUUUCACACUCUUCAUCUUCAGCGUGAAGGCAUCUGAAGAACGAAUGUCCUUUUUUAAAGCUCAAAUCCAUGCCUGCUUAAAACCGUAGUGACCUUUUUGAAUUAGCUCUUACUUACGGCUUGAAGUUUCCUCCCAUAUAUCUCUUUCCAACCCCCACCCCUUCCCACCCCAUCGCU